rnacentral:rRNA from 1 species
GUAGGGAAUAUUGGGCAAUGGAUGCAAGUCUGACCCAGCCAUCCCGCGUGCCGGAAGAAGGCCCUCAGGGUUGUAAACGGCUUUUGACGGUGAAGAAUCGACAGGAUGCGUCCUGUUUUGACGGUAGCCGUUGAAUAAGCACCGGCUAACUCCGUGCCAGCAGCCGCGGUAAUACGGAGGGUGCGAGCGUUGUCCGGAUUUAUUGGGUUUAAAGGGUGCGUAGGCUGGAAGGUCAGUCAGCGGUGAAAAGCUGUCGCUUAACGAUAGUCUUGCCGCAGAUACUUCCUUUCUUGGAUGAGGAGGAGGCCACUGGAACGGAUGGUGUAGCGGUGAAAUGCAUAGAGAUCAUCCAGAACACCGAUUGCGAAGGCAGGUGGCUGUACCUUAAUCGACGCUGAUGCACGAAAGCAUGGGGAGCAAACAGGAUUAGAAACCCCGGUAGUCC